rnacentral:sRNA from 1 species
UUGCUACCAAGUGGCAGAGCUGGAGUCAGUGUUACUCAGCCUCACACAUUUUGCUCCCUGUGCCUCUUCAGAACUUUGGCCUGUCACAUGUGUGCAGCUGUGGGAGCCCAGAUUGUGAGUUGGUCAAGGUCAGGGCCACACCCUGCACUUCCUGCCUGACACAGAGCGCACCCUGCGCUUCCUGCCUGACACAGAAAUUGCUCUCUGGGCAGAGGGCUGUGGAGCAGGAGCGAGGCUGCAGGUGUGAGAAGGACCCCGCCGUGCC